AUAAAGCCCUGCAUCAUAUUCAAAUUUCUUUUCCAUGCAGACUGUCGUCGUUAGCACUCGUAAGUACUCGCGUAGUCGUAAUUUUAAGUUAGUGUAUUCUUGAAGUUGUUCGUUCCUUAAAGUAUUUUUAUGUUUUUUUACUCCUGUUACGUCUUCUGUGGCUAGAUUUGUGUAUGAACGUCUUAAUUACAUUAGCAACAGUAGUUUAUAAUUAACCACAUGAAUUUUGGUUAUUAAUGCCUUUCCUGCCUGUAAUCUUUUUGCAAAUAUAACUUUUAAAAUUAUGUAAGCGGCCAUGGCGUGUGGGGUAGGCAAGGUCGUUGUUAGUAAGGUUUAAGUAGCCAGUCCAUUUUCAAUUCCCAACAAGUUUAGAUUGAAUCAUUUAUAUCGACCAAUUUCUACUUUGUGACUUAUAUUAUCAUUGAAAGUUCUUUUCUUUAUAUCCCAUUUGAUGAUUUUUAAAACUUUUGAAAGGCAGCAUGCCAGAAAGAACAUGGUUGGCAAUUUGACAAAGCUUGUUUCCUGUCCAGGUAAUGUUAAUGCACCCUGUUUUAUGGUGAGUUUGAUAAUGAAUCAGAUUUUCUAGAUGUGAUUGGUUUUUUUUAAAUCUAGGGUUAGUGCAAAAGUAGUCCAUCAAUCAUAAGUGCCAUGUAGGAUGACUGUAGAUAACUUGGUUGAAGUGUGGAUGAGUGCAUGGUGCUGGUUUGUUCUGAUCAUAUUGUCUUCUGUGGUGGUUUAGUUUUUUGUUGUUGAGUUUGAUAGAACAUGAAAUUUUCAAGGUGUGAUUGAACUUUGUUUUAUCUAGGGUUAAUCCUGAAUGUGUGCAUGUAUUUGUAUGUGCUACAUGACCUGCUAUUCAUUGUUCUGGUCUGAGUUAAAAAAUUUUGUUAUUCUCCCAUUUAAUAAUUUCAGUGACUUUUGAUAUAUUGUUAUCUGAAGAUAACUUGGUAGGUAUUUGUACAGAGCACAUGGUGCUGGCUUGUCUACCUGACCAUGAUUUAUUCCAAUGGGUUGAUUUAUGAUGGGUGAGUUAAAGAAUUGGGUACAGGUAUAGUACACAUAAUGAAAAUCAUUUCUUGUUAAACAUGAAUUUUUCUUUAGAUGUCAAAUUACUGACAAAUAUCUGAAGUUGGUUAAUUUAAUUUCUCUUCAAUGUGAGUUUAAUCCAGUGUUAUAAUUCUCUAUAUGCUGGUUGAAUGCAUCAUGAAGAACAAGAAUAAUAUUGGUACUGUUUCAACGAUGUUUUUAAAUGUUGAAAUCAGUUGCUGUUUGCUGACGUUUCCGAUUGCUAGAUCUGGAGUCGUGAUUGACAAGCUGUCUUUUUGAGACCAAUAUUGUCCAUUGGUGGAAUUCUAUAUUUGCUUAUUGAAUGUGGGCCAUUUUGGUUGGUCAAAAUUCAACCGAUGCUACUGUUCGUUUUUGUUCUCUGUUGCCAAUGUACGAUAUGAUCCAUAAUUUGUUUUAAAUUAUUCUCGGUUUGAAAAACUAGGAUGUUUGUGUUGGUGUUGCAUCAUAUAGAACUCAGGAAGGAAACAGGUGGUGGCAAGUAAAAUAAUGGACAAGUUUUCGCUGUAGGUAAAAGUUGCAACAUAUUGGGAGGAUAUUGUGAUGGAAGUUGGAAAUUAAAAGUAUGGUUAAUAAUUAAAAUUACGUCCGAAGAUUUCUUUAAUUUUCUGCGUGUAUAAUUUCCUAAACUUCUAAAGGCAGGAUAAUUAUGUAAGUUGGUUUUGACAAGGCCCAUGGUGCUGGUUUCUCCUGAUUUUGUUUCACACUGUGGUGGUAAGUUGUAUGAGCUGAAAUUUUUAAGAUAUUGAAAGGAUUAUUUCUUGAUUUAAUCCUUGUACUGUGGAUGGAUUUGCUAUAUGACAAGAUGUUUAUUGUUCCUGCUGCUUGGUGCUCUUUGAAUGUGAAUUGUUUGACAUUGAGGUGGUAAGAUACUUAAUCUAUGUGAAUUGAAAGUAUUGGGUUGGAGUUGGUAAGUUGCUGAUUUCCUUAUUAUGGUCUUUCAUCUGUAGGUACUGCUUUGCAUCGUUCUCUCGUGUGGACAUGGUACAAAUGUGAGGAAACGGCAAUAUUCGUGCUGGGAUAGAAUAGUCAAUAUCAAGUUUGUUAAUUUUAAUAACUUUUGAUAGGGAGGACAACUACAUGACUUGGUUGGUAUAUGGACAGAACAUGAUGUUGGAUUGUCCUCCUGGCAGUUUUGUAUCCAGUGGUGGUCUUGCUUUAUUUGUGAGUUUGUUGAUGGUUACCUGAUGAUGAUAAGUAUGAAAAUAAGUUACUGGAAAUCAUUUUAAGGUUUUUACAGGUAUGGUUAUUUGUGGAGUUUGCUAUGCCUCGGUGUUACUGUUUUGAUGAUUUAAGUACCCACGAAGCAACCGAUUGAUUUUACAUAGUAAACUUGUAAUCGAUUUUUUUGUGUUGAAAGAUGUUCUGUUGUGGUUUAUCAUUGAUCUGUUAGUAUACUUUAAAGCGACUGUUUUGUUCUGCAUCCGCACUAGCCGAAGAUAUCGAUGGACUGAAAGGGGCGUGACAGAUGACAUACCAAUUGAAGUUGAAAAUUCGCAUGGAGACAUAAUUUGUUUUCCUAAAGUAAAUUCAUCAGUGUAUAUGUUAUUUUCUGUGGCCCUGUUUAUGCUUAACUUGUGAUAAGUCCAUGCGGUGGUAGGCUAUUCUAUGGUAAUCCAUUUUCAAUGUUAUGAGGUGGAUAAGGGGUUAUUCACAUAGGCACUUAUUUGUUCGAAAUUGUCUUGUUACUUUUUCGUCUUUUAUUUGCUACAUAACGGGUACUUCUGGUGAGAUAACUGAUAUAGUUUCGCCUACAUUAUCGGAUUAUAACUAUUUUUAUAAUUGUAAAUUGAAUUGAUAAUAAAAGCGUUUCAAAUUAAA